rnacentral:rRNA from 1 species
UGUGUAGGCGGAUUGACAAGUACCUUGUGAAAUCCCACGGCUUAACCGUGGAACUGCUCGGUAUACUGUCUGUCUUGAGCUAUCUAGAGGCAACUGGAACAAACGGUGGAGCGGUGAAAUGCGUAGAUAUCGUUUGGAAUGCCAAAGGUGAAAACAGGUUGCUGGGGAUAUGCUGACGCUGAGACACGAAAGCCAGGGGAGCAAACGGGAUUAGAUACCCCGGUAGUCCUGGCCCUAAACAAUGUCCACUAGAUCUCAGCAGCUCUGACGUUGUUGUGGUCGUAGCAAAAGUGUUAAGUGGACCGCCUGGGAAGUACGGUCGCAAGGCUAAAA